GAUGAACGCUGGCGGCGUGCCUAAUACAUGCAAGUCGAACGAUGAACCCGGAGCUUGCUCCGGUGGAUUAGUGGCGAACGGGUGAGUAACACGUGAGUAACCUGCCCUUGACUCUGGGAUAACUGCGGGAAACUGUAGCUAAUACCGGAUACGACCCUCGGCGGCAUCGCCAGGGGGUGGAAAGAAUUUCGGUCAAGGAUGGACUAGCGGCCUGUUAGCUAGUUGGUGGGGUAAAGGCCUACCAAGGCGACGAUCUGUAGCGGGUCUGAGAGGAUGAUCCGGCACACUGGGAAUGAGACACGGCCCAGACUCCUACGGGAGGCAGCAGUGGGGAAUAUUGGACAAUGGGGGGAACCCUGAUCCAGCCAUGCCGCGUGUGUGAAGAAGGCCUUAUGGUUGUAAAGCACUUUAAUCGAGGAGGAGGCUCUCUUGGUUAAUACCCAAGAUGAGUGGACGUUACUCGCAGAAUAAGCACCGGCUAACUCUGUGCCAGCCGCCGCGGUAA
rnacentral:rRNA from 1 species